rnacentral:rRNA from 1 species
GGCGGCGUGCUUAACACAUGCAAGUCGAGCGGAAAGGCCCUUCGGGGUACUCGAGCGGCGAACGGGUGAGUAACACGUGAGUAACCUGCCCUAGGCUUUGGGAUAACCCUCGGAAACCGGGGCUAAUACCGGAUACCUCCUUCUGGCCGCAUGGUUGGUGGUGGAAAGUUUUUCGGCCUGGGAUGGGCUCGCGGCCUAUCAGCUUGUUGGUGGGGUGAUGGCCUACCAAGGCGACGACGGGUAGCCGGCCUGAGAGGGCGACCGGCCACACUGGGACUGAGACACGGCCCAGACUCCUACGGGAGGCAGCAGUGGGGAAUAUUGCACAAUGGGCGGAAGCCUGAUGCAGCGACGCCGCGUGAGGGAUGACGGCCUUCGGGUUGUAAACCUCUUUCAGCAGGGACGAAGCGCAAGUGACGGUACCUGCAGAAGAAGCGCCGGCCAACUACGUGCCAGCAGCCGCGGUAAGACGUAGGGCGCGAGCGUUGUCCGGAUUUAUUGGGCGUAAAGAGCUCGUAGGCGGCUUGUCGCGUCGGCUGUGAAAACCCGUGGCUCAACUGCGGGCCUGCAGUCGAUACGGGCAGGCUAGAGUUCGGUAGGGGAGACUGGAAUUCCUGGUGUAGCGGUGAAAUGCGCAGAUAUCAGGAGGAACACCGGUGGCGAAGGCGGGUCUCUGGGCCGAUACUGACGCUGAGGAGCGAAAGCGUGGGGAGCGAACAGGAUUAGAUACCCUGGUAGUCCACGCUGUAAACGUUGGGCGCUAGGUGUGGGGGGCCUCUCCGGUUCUCUGUGCCGCAGCUAACGCAUUAAGCGCCCCGCCUGGGGAGUACGGCCGC